UACAGAGGGUGCGAGCGUUAAUCGGAAUUACUGGGCGUAAAGCGUGCGUAGACGGUUAUUUAAGUCGGAUGUGAAAGCCCCGGGCUCAACCUGGGAAUUGCAUUCGAGACUGAAUAGCUAGGGUACGGUAGAGGGAAGUGGAAUUUCCGGUGUAGCGGUGAAAUGCGUAGAUAUCGGGAGGAACGCCGGUGGCGAAAGCGAUUCUCUGGCCCGUUCCUGACACUGAGGCGCGAAAGCUAGGGGAGCAAACAGG
rnacentral:rRNA from 1 species